ACAAGUAUCUAUUUGUUGUAAAGGUUGUACAAAGAGACGUAAAAUGAUUAUUUUGCUACAAAAGGGCAUUUGUUCAUUUCUCAAGAAUUUAAUAUUGAAAAUAUUAUUUUGAUAAGAUAUUUAAUGUGAUUAUUUUUGUGAGAAGAAUUGUGGAUCACAUAAAUUUUAAAUGAAUUUUGACCAACUUUGACUUUAGGUUAUUUUGGUAUUUUAAAAUGGGAAAAAAAGGGGUGAAAAGUCAUCCUCUUCCUCCACCCACCAGCCGCCCCCUCUCCUUCACCGAGGGGAAGCUUUCCCUUUUCAUUGUUUUGUUAUUUUCUCUAAAUCUCUUAAAAAAAUAUCAACACCCAUAUUGAGUUCUUGCAUAGAUCAACUAGGAAAUUCAUAAUCAAGCUUGAAUAACCUUCAAAACCAUUAUUUUAGCAAGGUCUUUUUAUGGUUCUUUUUAUAGAUCAACUUGAAGCUAGAGAUAGAAAGCUUCAAUAAGGUGAAUGAGGAAUGAUGAGAAAUGAAUUUUCAAGCUAGUAAAAGGAUGGAUUCAAGUGAGGCUUGAUUUUACUUUCCUAUACUAAUAUGUUUAGGAAAUUAGUUAAAUUUUGUAAUGAAUCUGAAAAUGUUUAUGUAAUAAUUGCAUGGAAAUCUCCAUGGACAAGGGUGGUUGAAACAUUGACUUGUGAAAGGUUUAAGCCUAAUGAGCCUUAGUUAUAAUGUGCCAAACCAACUAAUAAUGUGAUAUGAAAAAUUUGGUUGCCAUGGAAUGGCAUAUAAAA